rnacentral:tRNA from 1 species
AGCUAAUUAAUCUAAAUAAAGAUUAUUAUUUUGAAAAUAAUAUAUAGAAAAUAAAACCUCUAUUAGCUU